UGAAACACCUGGUGACCGCCUCUCUCCCCCCCAAGCCUUUAAUGGGGGUGGUGGUAGGGAGGGGGUACUAAUGCUCCAGGCAUUAUGGCCCUCGUGGCGCUGGCUGUCGGAGGCACUGGUUGGGUGCGCUUGGUCAGAGUCGUGAUGCUUUCGAUGACGGAAAGGCAAAUACAUCCCGAUCGCCUCAAGCAGAGCCUCCUUCCUACCCCUACAAAAGAAAACGUUUUCCCCAGUUUGAUCACAAUGAUGUUUAAAGCAUAAAAGAACGGAAAAAGAAAAAUGGACGUUGCUAAUUUGGCAGAGCGGAAGGCCGUAGGGAGGCCUUGGGGACAGUCGGUAUGGGGUGUGUUGGAGAAAUAUAAGAACAGGCGCUUGUGAUCUCCACCAAGUAAAAAAUUUUGGACUGGGAGAUCCAUCUGCUGUAGGGUCCAGUGUCCAGGGAAAUCUUUCAAGCCCGAUGUAGAGGUUUUCCAUAUCCUUCCAGAUGGCGGGGGCAGCCGAACCUGCCUAAAAAUCCCCGCGUUCUGUUCGACAGGGGCAGAUUUAUGUGUGGUGGGGCGUGAGAGGGCUUUUGCCCUUCCAGCGGCGGGCAGCAGACAGCUCCGGCUUCUCCUUUGCCCUCUAGUCUAAUAACUUCUCAGAAAUACAGGGCCAAUAAACUACGAGUUGGAAAUGGACAGUGUUAAAUAAACAAGGGUCUCUUUAAAAUUCUCAUCCACUUCAGAUGUCUAAAGUAAGAUUGUGAUGAUUUUGUCACGGUUUGGUAAAUUUACCCCUUUAAGAGGCUUUCAUAAAUCCCAGAACACACCUUCAGCCAGAUUUGAAUAUAGAUUUAGGUUUUAAAACCCAGAAGCUGGAAACACCGCUUUAUCAAAGAGAAUUUCCCUUUAGCUUAGCAAUGUGCUGAAGCUCUUAAAAGAUUGGAUCUGAGAGAGAGAGACAGAGAGGAGAAAGAACUAGAGACAGAGAGAGGCAGACAGGGAGGGGGGGAGAAGACUUUCUUUUUCUUUCUAGAGGAAUUCUGCCCAGACUCUGCAGCAGUUGGUAGCAGGCAAGCUUUCUCCUGGGUGUCGCUUGGAAAAGUUGCAAAAUUGCUCUUCACCUGUAAGAACAUGCUCUUUAUCUUCCAGUCUCUUCUUGUCAAUUUGGAAAUCGCAGACAGCCCGGCUCAGUAGAGACGGGGUUUCACCAUGUUGACCAGGAUGGUCUCGAUCUCUUGACCUCGUGAUCCACCCUCCUCGGCCUCCCAAAGUGCUGGGAUUACAGGCUUGAGCCACCGUGCCCAGCCUUCAGAAAAUUUCUUAAUGAAAGAGAUGACGAUGUUGGCCUUCACCUCCAGAAUGAAGAUACUUCAGGACUUAGUCUGAAAGCAAAGGGUUUGUGCUGCCAGGAAGAGCCAUUAAGAUGCUCUGUGUUGGCUGGGGGCAGUAACUCACGCCUGUAAUCCCAGCACGUUGAGAGGCCAAGGGAGGUGGAUCAUUUGAGGUCAGGAGUUCGAGACCAGCCUGAUCAACGUGGUGAAACCCCAUCUCUACUAAAAAUAGAAAAAUUGACCAGGAAAAAGUGGCAACCCAUUCCCAACUUGAAGAUUUCUCAUUGUUUUUACCAAACUUAAAGAACCAGCAGCCAAGAGAGAAGUGCCUCGAAUUGCGGAUGGGCUGUUACCUUUUCGAAGAGAAGACUUAUGCUCUGAGAGAAGAUUUUCUAGCAGUGGAAACAGAUUCACCUCUGGUGCUGCUUCAAGUUACUGAACUUAUCAAACAGGCUGGUGUACAAGUGCCCUUGGCCUUGCCUUGGUAGCUCUGGCUGGGCCACAGGAAAGUCUUAAGACACCGAGGUUGGGCGGCUUCAGAAGAUGCUUGUUGACUGACUGGACAAAGAAGACAGUGAAGAUUUUAUAUGUAAUCUCUAAGACUCAUCUGUCUUACACUGAUGAAGAAGUCCUAGAAGGUCUUCAAAAAGAGAAUAUAUUUCAGCAGAGAGGCAAACGUAAUACAUUUUUAUCACGGAAAGCAGAUCUAGCCACAGAACUGGGUCUUGAAGCUGUUUCCCACAGCCCUCUGCAGCCAGGGAUGGCCUCUAGGAGGACCAGCCUCAGGAAGGUGAAGGGUGCCUCAAGAGCACCCUUGCCCAAUCCAACAGCAAGGAACAAAAUGAGAGCCAAUGAACAAAAUGGAAAAUAACUUUCCCAGACCAGAGAGAAAACACUUGGCAUUCCUGAGGAACAGCUGCUUGCUGUUAGAAGUUUAUGGUAAUAAACUAAACUGGGUGAGCACUUCCUAAGAAGAAAUAUUUAAUUAUCCUGCUCACCAUUAUGAGGAACUUCUGCCACUCUUCAGGUUAUUAUACAGUAAAUAACCAUUUUUCUAAAGGACAGAGCUGUUUUAAUUAUAUGACAAUGAAUGCAUAAUUAUUAUGUUUGUUAGGAAUGAAUCACAAGACAACAGACUUGAUAUUACUGCUCUGGUUAGUGCAUCUUAAUUACUUUUUCAUUUAUUUUGCAUAUAAAAGGUAUUUGCUAAUUGUCUUUGCUGUAAAUAUGCAAAAUAUAAUUAGUCAUUCAUAAUUCUUUAUGUGUUAUCUAACUGUACAUUUGUUUCUAAGGAACAUAUAUUAAAGUGUGAAUAUUUAA